GGCGGUGUCGACCUUGGCAGCACCGAGGCCGAGCGCGUCUUGAA
rnacentral:sRNA from 1 species